GGGGGGGGGCAAGCGUUGUUCGGAAUUACUGGGCGUAAAGGGCGCGUAGGCGGACGAGACAGUCUUUCGUGAAAUCCCACGGGCUCAACCGUGGAACUGCGGGAGAUACUACUCGUCUUGAGUUCGGGAGAGGAGUGUGGAAUUCCCAGUGUAGCGGUGAAAUGCGUAGAUAUUGGGAGGAACACCGGUGGCGAAGGCGGCACUCUGGACCGAUACUGACGCUGAGGCGCGAAAGCUAGGGGAGCAAACGGGAUUAGAUACCCCGGUAGUCCUAGCUGUAAACGAUGAGCACUUGGUGUAGCGGGCAUCGACCCCUGCUGUGCCGGAGUUAACGCAUUAAGUGCUCCGCCUGGGGAGUACGGUCGCAAAGGCUG
rnacentral:rRNA from 1 species